AACAUGGGUAGACCCCCCCCCUGUACUCAUGUCUCUUCUUCUUUUCCUCUUGACUGCAACCCUCCCUCCCUCCCUUCUUUUCUUCCUUCCUUUCUCAUCUUCCUUCUCUUCCCGUGAUCCUGUAAGAACAGGACUGUCGGUUUGCUUUGGAAAACACCGCGGUGAGGAGAACAAGAAAAGGAAA
rnacentral:ribozyme from 1 species